AAAAUAUUUUUCAUCAUCAACUCCAAAGUCGGUGGAUGUCAGAUUAUCAUGCCCCAACAAUGUAAGUUCUAUCACACUCUACAAAUGGACUGUUGCUGUCAUCAUGAAGAAUAUUGACUGUCAUCUGUAUCUUCACCAUCAUGAACAAAACCAGCUAAGUCUGUAGAUUUUGUUCUUCAUAUAAUCACCAUGUGAAUAAUUUCAAAGGUCUAAGGACAAGUUUUAAUACUUUGGUCUAUUAUAUCAUUUGUUGAGGGUAGUCAUGAAGCUAGAAUUUUGAUUAAGGAAUAUGAAAAUAUAAAAAAGUAAA
rnacentral:lncRNA from 1 species